AGGGGAAGAUGGAGAGGGAGACUGCUAAUAGGUGCAGAGUUUCUUUUGGGGAUGAUGAAAAUGUUCUGCAAUUAGAUAGUGGUAAUACUCGCACA